rnacentral:rRNA from 1 species
GGAAUUUUCGGCAAUGGGCGAAAGCCUGACCGAGCAACGCCGCGUGAGCGAGGAAGUAUUUCGGUAUGUAAAGCUCUAUCAGCAGGGAAGAAAAUGACGGUACCUGACUAAGAAGCCCCGGCUAACUACGUGCCAGCAGCCGCGGUAAUACGUAGGGGGCAAGCGUUAUCCGGAUUUACUGGGUGUAAAGGGAGCGCAGGCGGUUCUGCAAGUCUGGUGUGAAAGCCCGGGGCUCAACCCCGGGACUGCAUUGGAAACUGUGGGACUUGAGUGUCGGAGGGGCAAGUGGAAUUCCUAGUGUAGCGGUGAAAUGCGUAGAUAUUAGGAGGAACACCAGUGGCGAAGGCGGCUUGCUGGACGACAACUGACGCUGAGGCUCGAAAGCGUGGGGAGCAAACAGG